CACUGACACAAAUGCACACUCACACGCACACUGACACAACUGCACACACACACUGACACAAUUGCACACACUCACACUGACACAAUUACACACUCACACACACUGACACAUUUGCACACUCACGCACACCGCACCAUUUUCCACCACAGCUUUAUUGACCCCCAUCCGCGCAGCGCAGCCCCACAGCGCGCAGCUCUGCCCCAUAAGUGGCCCCAUACGGCCCCAUAGGGCUCAGUGUCCCCAUAGGGCCCCAUAGGGCCCACUGCUCUCCUUAUAGGAUUUAAUGUCCCCAUACGGCCCCAUAGGGCCCACUGCUGUCCCUAUAGGGUUCAAUGUCCCCAUACGGCCCCAUAGGGCUCACUGCUGACCCCAUAGGUUGUCACGUUGUCCCCAUAGGGUCCACCUUUGUCCCCAUAGGGUUCGUUGUCCCCAUAAGUCCCAUCAAUGUCCCUAUAGAACUCACUGCUGACCCCAUAGGUUGUCACGUUGUCCCCAUAGGGCUCAAUGUCCCUAUAGGGCUCAUCAAUGUCCCCAUAGGGUCCACUUUUGUCCCCAUAGGGCUCCCUGGUGACCCUAUAGGUCUCCCUGGUGACCCUAUAGGGCUCACUGUUGUCCCCAUAGGGCUCACUGCUGUCCCCAUAGGUCACCACGUCGCCCCA
rnacentral:lncRNA from 1 species